UACGAAGGGAGCUAGCGUUGUUCGGAAUCACUGGGCGUAAAGCGCACGUAGGCGGAUGUGUCAGUCAGGGGUGAAAUCCCGGAGCUCAACUUCGGAACUGCCUUUGAUACAGCACGUCUUGAGUCCGAUAGAGGUGGGUGGAAUUCCUAGUGUAGAGGUGAAAUUCGUAGAUAUUAGGAAGAACACCGGUGGCGAAGGCGGCCCACUGGAUCGGUACUGGACGCUGAGGUGCGAAAGCGUGGGAGCAAACAGG
rnacentral:rRNA from 1 species